GAUGAACGCUAGCUACAGGCUUAACACAUGCGAGUCGCGGGGCAGCAUGGGGGUUGCUUGCAAUCCCCGAUGGCGACCGGCGCACGGGUGAGUAGCGCGUAUCCAACCUGCCCUUCACCACGGGAUAACCCGGCGAAAGUCGGACUAAUACCGUAUGUUGUCCAUUGACGGCAUCCGAUUUGGACGAAAGGUUUGGCGGUGAAGGAUGGGGAUGCGUCCGAUUAGCUGGACGGCGGGGUGACGGCCCACCGUGGCGACGAUCGGUAGGGGUUCUGAGAGGAAGGUCCCCCACACUGGAACUGAGACACGGCCCAGACUCCUACGGGAGGCAGCAGUGAGGAAUAUUGGUCAAUGGGCGUAAGCCUGAACCAGCCAAGUAGCGUGCAGGAGGACGGCCCUAUGGGUUGUAAACUGCUUUUAUGCGGGGAUAAAGUGGCCCACGUGUGGGUUUUUGCAGGUACCGCAUGAAUAAGGACCGGCUAAUUCCGUG
rnacentral:rRNA from 1 species